rnacentral:rRNA from 1 species
UACGGAGGGGGCUAGCGUUGUUCGGAAUUACUGGGCGUAAAGCGCGCGUAGGCGGCGCGGUAAGUCGGGUGUGAAAUCUCGGAGCUUAACUCCGAAACUGCAUUCGAUACUGCCGUGCUUGAGGACUGGAGAGGAGACUGGAAUUUACGGUGUAGCGGUGAAAUGCGUAGAUAUCGUAAGGAAGACCAGUGGCGAAGGCGGGUCUCUGGACAGUUCCUGACGCUGAGGCACGAAGGUCAGGGGAGCAAACGGG